rnacentral:rRNA from 1 species
AAAUUGAAGAGUUUGAUCAUGGCUCAGAUUGAACGCUGGCGGCAGGCCUAACACAUGCAAGUCGAGCGGAAACGAGUUAUCUGAACCUUCGGGGGACGAUAACGGCGUCGAGCGGCGGACGGGUGAGUAAUGCCUAGGAAAUUGCCCUGAUGUGGGGGAUAACCAUUGGAAACGAUGGCUAAUACCGCAUGAUGCCUACGGGCCAAAGAGGGGGACCUUCGGGCCUCUCGCGUCAGGAUAUGCCUAGGUGGGAUUAGCUAGUUGGUGAGGUAAGGGCUCACCAAGGCGACGAUCCCUAGCUGGUCUGAGAGGAUGAUCAGCCACACUGGAACUGAGACACGGUCCAGACUCCUACGGGAGGCAGCAGUGGGGAAUAUUGCACAAUGGGCGCAAGCCUGAUGCAGCCAUGCCGCGUGUGUGAAGAAGGCCUUCGGGUUGUAAAGCACUUUCAGUCGUGAGGAAGGGUGUAGUUAAUAGCUGCAUUCUUGACGUUAGCGACAGAAGAAGCACCGGCUAACUCCGUGCCAGCAGCCGCGGUAAUACGGAGGGUGCGAGCGUUAAUCGGAAUUACUGGGCGUAAAGCGCAUGCAGGUGGUUUGUUAAGUCAGAUGUGAAAGCCCGGGGCUCAACCUCGGAAUUGCAUUUGAAACUGGCAGACUAGAGUACUGUAGAGGGGGGUAGAAUUUCAGGUGUAGCGGUGAAAUGCGUAGAGAUCUGAAGGAAUACCGGUGGCGAAGGCGGCCCCCUGGACAGAUACUGACACUCAGAUGCGAAAGCGUGGGGAGCAAACAGGAUUAGAUACCCUGGUAGUCCACGCCGUAAACGAUGUCUACUUGGAGGUUGUGGCCUUGAGCCGUGGCUUUCGGAGCUAACGCGUUAAGUAGACCGCCUGGGGAGUACGGUCGCAAGAUUAAAACUCAAAUGAAUUGACGGGGGCCCGCACAAGCGGUGGAGCAUGUGGUUUAAUUCGAUGCAACGCGAAGAACCUUACCUACUCUUGACAUCCAGAGAACUUUCCAGAGAUGGAUUGGUGCCUUCGGGAACUCUGAGACAGGUGCUGCAUGGCUGUCGUCAGCUCGUGUUGUGAAAUGUUGGG